UGGGCCGAACUCCAUCAGCCUUUAUCAGGAUGAGAAACCCUAAUCGCCAAAACCCUUUAUUUAAACGUUGUUUUCGGUUCAUUGCUUUGCCAAUCCCGAUCUUCUUGAAAGCGAUGAUUUCCUUUCACCUUCUCGAUUCAUAGUUGAAUCGAAGUAUGAAAGGGAGGGACGGUUGAAUUGAAGUUUGAAAUGGAUGAAGAAAUUGAACUUGUAGACUUGCCUUAUUGUCAAAGCCCACUUCUGUGCUGUUAGAUCAUCAAUACAAGUUGAGUGCUUACAUUUUUCUGUACAUUUUUGGAAGACAAUAUUUACAGUAGCAUUUCAAGAUACAUGUAAUGUUAACCCCAAAUCGCUUGUGUAUGGAUGUAAAUGAAUGUAUAUAUUGUGAUUAAACUGUGUUUUUCUUUUGUAA